GAUGAAGAACGCAGCGAAAUGCGAUACUUGGUGUGAAUUGCAGAAUCCCGCGAAUCAUCGAAUUUUUGAACGCAAGUUGCGCCCGAAGCCAUUCGGCCGAGGGCACGUCUGCCUGGGUGUCACGCAUCGUUGCCCCCCCAAACUCCGGUUCGGGCGGGGCGGAAGUUGGCCUCCCGUGCGUGCCUGCGCGCGCGGUUAGCCCAAAAGCGAGUCCUCGGCGAUGAGCGCCACGACAAUCGGUGGUUUUUUUACCCUCGUUCCUCGUCGUGCGUGCCCCGUCGCCCGAACGCGCUCUUGCAACCCUUACGCGUCGCCUCGGUGGCGCUCCCAACGCGACCCCAGGUCAGGCGGGACUACCCGCUGAGUUUAAGCAUAUCAAUAAGCGGAGGA
rnacentral:misc_RNA from 1 species